AGGUUCCAUGUGAACGGCAC
rnacentral:snRNA from 1 species